AGCACCGCAGUUUAAAUCAUCUAACAAUAGAUUCACGAAACAAGUGGAAAACUCGAGAAAUAAAACUGCUUUUAAUGAAGACUGUGAGAAAGUUAAACUUUAUAAACCGCGUUAGGAGACGAGAUGAUGAGAGACUGAAUCUUUACCUCAGAGGAACAUUUAUUUCUUUGUUCUUUAAUGUAAAUUUCUCCUCGACCGUUCUCCAGACGUGGACAACUAUUCUGAAGAAGACAAUGACAGUUAUUCUUCAGAGCAGGAGGUCAGUGAUGAUGCCGUUCAGGGUCAGUGGAUAUGAACAGAAGUUCAGAUGCGUCUAUAGCGCUUCACUCUACAGCUGUUGUAAGUCCACAUUUUUGAUUAUGACACAUGUAUAAAUGUGACUAUUACACUUUACUAAUAUUACAGCUACACAACAUAUAGAUAUAAAUGACACAAUGAUUAUGAUCACUGAACUGAAUCCACUGUA